AUCUAAGGCCAUACUACCUUCAACGUGCCAGAUCUUACGUGAUCUUGGAGGCUAAGCAGGGGCAAAUCUGGUUAGUACUUGAAUGGGAGCAUGGAGCUCAAGGAACCUCAUGAC
rnacentral:rRNA from 10 species